rnacentral:rRNA from 1 species
AUUGAACGCUGGCGGCAUGCCUUACACAUGCAAGUCGAACGGUAACAGGUCUUCGGAUGCUGACGAGUGGCGAACGGGUGAGUAAUACAUCGGAACGUGCCCAGACGUGGGGGAUAACGAGGCGAAAGCUUUGCUAAUACCGCAUACGAUCUAAGGAUGAAAGCAGGGGACCGCAAGGCCUUGCGCGUUUGGAGCGGCCGAUGGCAGAUUAGGUAGUUGGUGGGAUAAAAGCUUACCAAGCCGACGAUCUGUAGCUGGUCUGAGAGGACGACCAGCCACACUGGGACUGAGACACGGCCCAGACUCCUACGGGAGGCAGCAGUGGGGAAUUUUGGACAAUGGGCGAAAGCCUGAUCCAGCAAUGCCGCGUGCAGGAUGAAGGCCUUCGGGUUGUAAACUGCUUUUGUACGGAACGAAAAGGCUCUGGCUAAUACCUGGGGCACAUGACGGUACCGUAAGAAUAAGCACUGGCUAACUACGUG